ACAUGAUUUUGGUUAUGCUUACAGAUCCAUAUGUGUAUGUUUGCUAAUUAAGCAUUUUGAUCAUGACAAAUUUAGAGCUAUAGGAGACAAUCGAUGCAUACAUUAUAUGUGCACAUCCUAAAUGCGUAUCUUAGAUCAUACACCGAUAAAACUAUCAAGGACUAAAUACCAGGUUUCAUGUAGAACAGAAUUUACCUGCAGAAAAUUUUAUACUCAUAAACUUGCUUCUCUAAUGAAAUUAGUGUACAUCAUAAACUUACUUAAUGAAAUUAGUGUACAUCAUAAACUUGCUUUUCUAAUGCUGUUGGCUAAAUAUUGAUUGUUGUUCUAAUAUGUAUUUAUUUCUCACAAGUUUAUGUUUCCUACCAAAAGUUAGAAAUUCCGAAGUAAAAGGACCCUUGGAUGUUGCCACUUUCGAAUUUUGACAAUUUGCAAUUUAAGCGUCCAUAAUAUGGCACUUCUUGAGAUAUUUGAUCCAUAGAUGGAUAGAAAAAGCAAACUCAAAUCCAAUAUGCACGCCAUCAAAAUAUAAACCGUGGGCAAUACAAAGAUUUGUACAAAGUCAAUAGGGGUUCAUUACUUCCCUCUAAUUUCAAUGCGGUUUGGUAACCUCAUAUUAGAGAUAUUAUUAGAUAGCCACCAUGUCACACGUGGCUCUUUGUAAUAUGUCAGGGCUCAUGAUUCAAAUGCCAUUAGAUAUAUGUAUACAUGCCGUUAGGUACCAUGAUGUAUGACCUGAAAGAAAUUCAGUGAUGCCUUAAAAUCAGCAAAAGCUGAGUUUGUUCUAGCUCUGCUACAUGCGCAGAAGUCGAACACAACAAAAUAUUUGUGCACAUAUAAUAGCAUAACUCCACGCAAAUGAAGCCAGAAAACUGCAGCCAAACUCGCAAAUAUUCACACUACAACCUCUAUUAAACUGAGAGUCCAGGUAAUAGUCCAGUUAUCUACAAUAUUACAGUCAUACUUUUUCCCUUAUACUACACCAAAGUAAAAGAGCAUUAUGGCUUACCUUCUAACUUGCGCCUGCGUCGACGGUUGGCUUACCUUCCAAAAAUGAGGAUAAUAACCAACCCUUUUUCUUACCAUACUCCUCUACAUAACUCUGAAACUUCUCCUUGGCAUCAGGGAUGUCGAGAGCCAAAUCAUCGAUCCCAUCCUUAACCCUAGAGAACCCUUUAGUCAUCUGGUUGAUGGUGAUCAACCCCUCGCCAAAACACUGCUGAAGCAGCUCCAGAAUCCUCUCGUCGCUCUUCUUCUCCAUCGCCAUCACCAAAGCUUUCUUCACAACUUCAUGGUACUUCUUGAGGUGGAAAGGCAGUAGGCAAAAACUUCUAAGGAAUUUGAAUCUAAAACCAGACCUUAUAUUGGAGUCCUGGUACGUGCUACAUUGAUACAUUUGCCGGGGAGUAUGUUUGCUAAUGUGGAAAGUUCUCUACUAUACAGAGAUGUAGAUUUUUUUUGGGUAAUUUUAAUAUCUAUUUUGCUUUGUGAUACGUUCUCUACUAUACAUAGUUUGAUUCUGUUAUUCUGAAACCAACAGACAUCUUUCAUUUAAUUUUCAUUUUGUUGCCUUGGUCCAUUAUAACUCGUUUGUGCUAUGCUGAUGACCUCUUGCUAUUUUGUAAAGGAGAUGUUGGUUCUGUGAAAGCAAUGAUCAGCUGUUUUGACAAUUUUUCGAAGGCUACAGGGGAAAUAUUGAGGUCUCUAUGGUGAUUUCGGAUUCUAACCCUUGCUAUGAAGAUGCACAUAUGAGGCUUGCUGCAGUACUUUUAAUGUUGCUAUUGAGUCCAACUGAGUGUUAUGUUUGUUUCCUAGUCUUUUCUUUCUUCUGUCAUGAUCAUGUUCAUGCCUGAACAUUUGAAAGAUGGGAAAUAAGUGGACUAUGGUUGUGCUACUAUUUUGUUUAUAGACGAACUUACUACUCUUCUAGUUUAUCAAGUAAUUAAGUAGAUUGUCCUUACUAA